rnacentral:miRNA from 18 species
CAGUAUUGCCUUGCUGCUUGAG